rnacentral:rRNA from 1 species
GACGUAGGGUGCAAGCGUUGUCCGGAAUUAUUGGGCGUAAAGAGCUCGUAGGCGGUUUGUCGCGUCUGCUGUGAAAACGCGAGGCUCAACCUCGCGCCUGCAGUGGGUACGGGCAGACUAGAGUGUGGUAGGGGAGAUUGGAAUUCCUGGUGUAGCGGUGGAAUGCGCAGAUAUCAGGAGGAACACCGAUGGCGAAGGCAGAUCUCUGGGCCAUUACUGACGCUGAGGAGCGAAAGCGUGGGGAGCGAACAGG